rnacentral:rRNA from 1 species
AAAUUGAAGAGUUUGAUCAUGGCUCAGAUUGAACGCUGGCGGCAGGCCUAACACAUGCAAGUCGAACGGUAACAGAAAGAAGCUUGCUUCUUUGCUGACGAGUGGCGGACGGGUGAGUAAUGUCUGGGAAACUGCCUGAUGGAGGGGG